GAGAUCUAAGUGGGCUCCUGGGUGCGAGCUGAGCCACCGAACAACGGUCUGUGCUUCUCACCACCUCAGCGACAAUGUCGCUGCCGGGCACAGAGUGAGAUCCAGAGAAACACGCGUUCUAGUGGAAACAGACUUUCCGAAUGGGUUUCCGGCCAUCACCACGGUUUCGCAUUAGAUAAAGUGAAGGACAGUAGCUUCCCAGAGGCCACUCCGCUGGGAAGUUGCUCGGCCAGGAUUCGGGCACCCGCA